UACGUAGGUGGCAAGCGUUGUCCGGAUUUACUGGGCGUAAAGAGCGCGCAGGCGGUCGUUCAAGUCGCGUGUGAAAGCCCCCGGCUCAACUGGGGAGGGUCACGCGAUACUGUUCGACUCGAAGGCAGGAGAGGGAAGUGGAAUUUCCGGUGUAGCGGUGAAAUGCGUAGAUAUCGGAAGGAAUACCAAUGGCGAAGGCAGCUUCCUGGCCCAAUACUGACGCUCAGGUGCGAAAGCGUGGGGAUCAAACAGG
rnacentral:rRNA from 1 species